ACGGGUGAGUAACGCGUAGAAAUCUGCCUUGAGAUGGGGGAUAACAGUCCGAAAGGAUCGCUAAUACCGCAUAUGUAUGUACUCGGACACGAGUGUAUAUGAAAGGAGUAAUCCGUCUUAAGAUGAGUCUGCGUCCGAUUAGCUAGUUGGUUGGGUAAAGGCCUACCAAGGCGACGAUCGGUAGCUGGUCUGAGAGGAUGAUCAGCCACAAUGGGACUGAGACACGGCCCAUACUCCUACGGGAGGCAGCAGUGGGGAAUUUUGUGCAAUGGGGGAAACCCUGACACAGCGACACCGCGUGAACGAAGAAGCCCUUUGGGGUGUAAAGUUCUGUCGGCUGGAACGAAAAAAAUGACGGUACCAGCAAAGGAAGCAUCGGCUAACUACGUGCCAGCAGCCGCGGUAAGACGUAGGAUGCAAGCGUUGUCCGGAUUUAUUGGGCGUAAAGAGUUCGUAGGCGGUUCGUUAAGUCUGAUGUUAAAGACUGGGGCUCAACCCCGGGAGUGCAUUGGAUACUGGCGGACUGGAGUGUGGUAGAGGCUAGUGGAAUUCCCAGU
rnacentral:rRNA from 1 species